CUUCCUCCUCUCCCCAACUGGUCACAUUGAAAUAGUUAUUAGGUUUGUUGUUCUGGGUUGCUGCAUUGUGCCGGGAAGGAGAACUGAAGCAUGCUUUGUGUGAGAAGCUGAUGGAGAAAGGUGUGCUGCCUUCAUUAGCUGCGGCUGCGAGGGAGGCGGAGAAAGCCAGACCGGAAGUGGAUGGGAAAGUGGUGGAGGCUGCCGGCGUGUUCACUGCUGCAGGAGCUUCUGUCCAGGAGGAGAAGAUUCGUCAAACACCCCGACCGUCACAGUCUUGAUGGUCCCGUCUGCUGCCCUCUGCCAGUUCAUCACAUCGUAGAUGGCCAGGGCAUCACCAUUUUUAUCAAAGGACACUUGGUCACCGAAGCUGGUGGUAAAAUUAACCCUUUGCAGACUUUCUUGUCCUGUGCACACCUUGUCCGGGGAGUCUGCCUUGAACUUACAGCUGAACAUCUCCUCCCAGAACAUGCUCACCAUGUUGUUGCCAGGAUCAAAGUCAGGGCGGAGACUAAGUAGGAAGUCCUGGAGCCCUGGGAUAUCUCCCCUACGGAUGGCGAUGCCCAGGGCCCCGCCCAAAAAUGGCAACAGCUGGCUGGUAUGGAAGACGCUUGAAGUGGCCCAGGCCUCACUAGCGAUCCACUGCCGCUCAGUCAGGUUCUGUAGGGCUAUCUCCUCAGUGAGGGGCAAUAGGUAUGCUGACGGAGAGAAUGCCACCACCACCCUUGCUGUGGAGCGGCGGAUGAUGCCUACGAUCUGCCGGAUCUUGGCCUGGUCAUUGUCAUGGGGCAGCAUCUCAGAGAAGGCCACACAUCCAAAGCGGCUGACCUCCUGGUGAAAGGAUUGAGCUGCGUGCACCCCAUAAUCAUCAUCGCUGAACAGGAGGCCCACCCACUUCCAGCCGUAGCGCUCCAGGAUCUGCACCAUGGCUCUGACCUGGAAGGCAUCACUGGGAAUGGUUCUGAAGAAGGAGGGAUACUGCUGCCUGUCACUCAGGCAGGCACAUGUGGCAAAGUAACUCACCUGGGGGAAGACAAAAGAUAUUGAGGCACCAACAGUUUAGAGACCUCCUCAAACACCUCCAUUUUAUAGCAUACACCUUUACCAUAGUACGCUUGUAUACAAAGCAGAACGAAGCUGUAAAGGAGUCAGUCCUCCUGGGCUCCUGUUUACACAUCAUGUAAAAUUUUAUAUUUUGUUAUGACUGCCUUCACUCGUCCUGAACUACCUUAAUAAAACAAAA